ACGUUUUUUCACAUUUUCUGAUUUUUUUUAUUCCUUUUAUUUUUAUUAAUUCAUAUUAAUUUUAAUAUUGAUCCAAAAAAUAUGAGAGUUUCACCAAAAAAAUUCAAAUAAUUUCCUCUUUCUAUUCUGAAUUAAAAUUAUUUUUUGGAUCACUAUUAAUAUUUUUCAUUAUUUAAUUGAUUUUGUGAUUAUUUUUAAUUUUUUUAAAAUACUUUUAUGUCUUUA
rnacentral:lncRNA from 1 species